GAUGAACGCUGGCGGCGUGCCUAAUACAUGCAAGUCGAGCGAACAGACGAGGAGCUUGCUCCUCUGACGUUAGCGGCGGACGGGUGAGUAACACGUGGAUAACCUACCUAUAAGACUGGGAUAACUUCGGGAAACCGGAGCUAAUACCGGAUAAUAUAUUGAACCGCAUGGUUCAAUAGUGAAAGACGGUUUUGCUGUCACUUAUAGAUGGAUCCGCGCCGCAUUAGCUAGUUGGUAAGGUAACGGCUUACCAAGGCAACGAUGCGUAGCCGACCUGAGAGGGUGAUCGGCCACACUGGAACUAAGACACGGUCCAGACUCCUACGGGAGGCAGCAGUAGGGAAUCUUCCGCAAUGGGCGAAAGCCUGACGGAGCAACGCCGCGUGAGUGAUGAAGGUCUUCGGAUCGUAAAACUCUGUUAUUAGGGAAGAACAAAUGUGUAAGUAACUGUGCACGUCUUGACGGUACCUAAUCAGAAAGCCACGGCUAACUACGUG
rnacentral:rRNA from 1 species